CACGUAGGGCGCGAGCGUUGUCCGGAAUUAUUGGGCGUAAAGAGCUCGUAGGUGGUUUGUCGCGUCUGCCGUGAAAGCCCGGGGCUUAACUCCGGGUCUGCGGUGGAUACGGGCAGACUAGAGGCAGGUAGGGGAGAACGGAAUUCCCGGUGUAGCGGUGAAAUUCGUAGAUAUCAGGAGGAACACCAAUUGCGAAGGCAGCUCGCUGGGACGUUACUGACGCUGAGACGCGAAAGCGUGGGGGAGCAAACAGG
rnacentral:rRNA from 1 species